ACCUACGGGGGGCAGCAGUGGGGGAUAUUGCCCAAUGGGGGGAACCCUGAUGCAGCGACGCCGCGUGAAGGAAGAAGUAUCUCGGUAUGUAAACUUCUAUCAGCAGGGAAGAAAAUGACGGUACCUGACUAAGAAGCCCCGGCUAACUACGUGCCAGCAGCCGCGGUAAUACGUAGGGGGCAAGCGUUAUCCGGAUUUACUGGGUGUAAAGGGAGCGUAGGCGGCAGUGCAAGUCAGAAGUGAAAGCCCGGGGCUCAACUCCGGGACUGCUUUUGAAACUGUACAGCUUGA
rnacentral:rRNA from 1 species